AGAAAGAACGCUGGAACUGCUAAUUCCACAUUUCCACGACUAAUAACGUGGCUUUCUU
rnacentral:tRNA from 1 species